rnacentral:tRNA from 1 species
GGGGCUGUAGCUCAGUGGUAAAGCGCUUGCCUCACAUGUAUGAGGCACUGGGUUUGAUCCUCAGCACCACA